rnacentral:rRNA from 1 species
CGGAGGGCUAGCGUUGUUCGGAAUUACUGGGCGUAAAGCGCACGUAGGCGGCUUUGUAAGUCAGAGGUGAAAGCCUGGAGCUCAACUCCAGAACUGCCUUUGAGACUGCAUCGCUUGAAUCCAGGAGAGGUCAGUGGAAUUCCGAGUGUAGAGGUGAAAUUCGUAGAUAUUCGGAAGAACACCAGUGGCGAAGGCGGCUGACUGGACUGGUAUUGACGCUGAGGUGCGAAAGCGUGGGAGCAAACAGGAUU